UACAGAGGGGGCAAGCGUUAUUCGGAAUUAUUGGGCGUAAAGGGCGCGUAGGCGGCUUGGCAAGUGGCUGGUGAAAUCCCUCGGCUUAACCGAGGAACUGCCGUCCAAACUGCUUUGCUUGAGGCCGGGAGAGGCGAGUGGAAUUCCCAGUGUAGCGGUGAAAUGCGUAGAUAUUGGGAGGAACACCAGUGGCGAAGGCGGCUCGCUGGACCGGUUCUGACGCUGAUGCGCGAAAGCGUGGGGAGCAAACGGG
rnacentral:rRNA from 1 species